CCUACGGGAGGCAGCAGUGGGGAAUUUUGGACAAUGGGCGAAAGCCUGAUCCAGCCAUGCCGCGUGAGUGAAGAAGGCCUUCGGGUUGUAAAGCUCUUUUAGUCGGAAAGAAAGGGUCGUAGUGAAUAAUUAUGAUUUAUGACCGGUACCGGACAGAAGAAGCACCGGCCUAACUACGGUGCCAGCAGCCGCGGUAAUACGUAGGGUGCGAGCGUUAAUCGGAAUUACUGGGCGUAAAGGGUGCGCAGGCGGUCUUGCAAGUCAGAUGUGAAAGCCCCGGGCUUAACCUGGGAAUUGCGUUCGAAACUACAAGGCUAGAGUGCAGCAGAGGGGAGUGGAAUUCCAUGUGUAGCAGUGAAAUGCGUAGAGAUGUGGAAGAACACCGAUGGCGAAGGCAGCUCCCUGGGUUGACACUGACGCUCAUGCACGAAAGCGUGGGGAGCAAACAGGAUUAGAUACCCUGGUAGUCCACGCCCUAAACGAUGUCAACUAGUUGUCGGAUCUAAUUAAGGAUUUGGUAACGUAGCUAACGCGUGAAGUUGACCGCCUGGGGAGUACGGUCGCAAGAUUAAAACUCAAAGGAA
rnacentral:rRNA from 1 species